GAAUAAAUUUGUUUUUAUGGUCUUUUAAAGGGAUACCUUUAAAAGUUAAAAGGGAAGUUCGGUGCAAAUCCGAUGCGGUCCCGCCACUGUAACGUAGAGCAAACUAUUAUAUCCACUGUUAUUAUAACGGGAAGGAAAUAUUUUGCGAUGAAACGAAGCCAGGAUACCUGCCAUAAAGAUCCUCUAAAU
rnacentral:ncRNA from 1 species